CGGAGGGUGCAAGCGUUAUCCGGAUUCACUGGGUUUAAAGGGUGCGUAGGUGGAGUGGUAAGUCAGUGGUGAAAUCUCCAAGCUUAACUUGGAAACUGCCGUUGAUACUAUCAUUCUUGAAUAUCGUGGAGGUAAGCGGAAUAUGUCAUGUAGCGGUGAAAUGCUUAGAUAUGACAUAGAACACCGAUUGCGAAGGCAGCUUGCUACACGAUCAUUGACACUGAGGCACGAAAGCGUGGGAUCAAACAGGAUU
rnacentral:rRNA from 1 species